rnacentral:rRNA from 1 species
UCCUAGCUGUAAAGCAUGCGGGCCAGGUGUCUGGUGUUCCUUGAGAGCACCAAGUGCCGGAGGGAAGCCGUUAAGCCCGCCGCCUGGGAAGUACGGUCGCAAGGCUGAAACUUAAAGAAAUUGGCGGGGGAGCACUACAAGGGGUGAGACCUGCGGUUCAAUUGGAUUCAACGCCGAAAAACUCACCAGGGGCGACAGUUGAUUGAAGGCCAGGUUGACGACCUUGCCGGACUAGCUGAGAGGUGGUGCAUGGCCGUCGUCAGCUCGUACCGUGAGGCGUCCUGUCAAGUCAGGUAACGAGCGAGACCCUCGCCCUUAGUUGCCAUCGAUGGGAAGUCGGGCACUCUAGGAGGACCGCUGGCGCUAAGUCAGAGGAAGGAGAGGGCAACGGUAGGUCCGUAUGCCCCGAAUCCCCUGGGCUACACGCGGGUCGCAAUGCGCAGGACAAUGGGAUGCAACCCCGUAAGGGGAAGCCAAUCCCCUAAACCUGCGCUCGGUUCGGAUCGAGGGCUGUAACUCGCCCUCGUGAAGCUGGAAUCCCUAGUAAUCGCGUGCCAACACCGCGCGGUGAAUACGUCCCUGCUCCUUGCACACACCGCCCGUCAAGCCAUUCGAGUGGGGUCUAGAUGAGGUUCGUUCAAGUUGGGCAGACCGAAUCUAGGUUCUGCAAGAAGGGCUAAGUCGUAACAAGGUAACCGU